rnacentral:rRNA from 1 species
AUUGAACGCUGGCGGCAGGCCUAACACAUGCAAGUCGGGCGAGUGGCGGACGGGUGAGUAAUGUAUGGGAAACUGCCUGAUGGCGUGGGAUAACUACUGGAAACGGUAGCUAAUACCGCAUACCAUCUGAUGUACCCAUAUGGGAUUAGCUUGUAGGUAGGGUAAAGGCUUACCUAGGCGACGAUCCCUAGCUGGUCUGCGAGGAUGAUCAGCCACACUGGGAAUGAGACACGGCCCAGACUCCUACGGGAGGCAGCAGUGGGGAAGAUUGCACAAUGGGCGCAAGCCUGAUGCAGCCAUGCCGCGUGUAUGAAGAAGGCCUUCGGGUUGUAAAGUACUUUCAGUCGGGAGGCGUUACCGGCAGAAGAAGCACCGGCUAACUCCGUGCCAGCAGCCGCGGUAAUUC